UUAUUGGGCUAAAGCGUCGUAGCCGGCCUUGCAAGUCGUCGGGAAAUCCAUACGCUCAACGUAUGGGCGUCCGGCGGAAACUGCCAGGCUUGGGACCGGAAGGCUCGAGGGGUACGUCCGGGGUAGGAGUGAAAUCCUAUAAUCCCGAACGGACCACCGAUGGCGAAAGCACCUCGAGAAAACGGAUCCGACGGUGAGGGACGAAAGCCAGGGUCUCGAACC
rnacentral:rRNA from 1 species